AUACUGACCUGGCAGGGAAAACACCUUGAUCACAAAGGUGCUUUUUUUUUUCUCACGGCAGUGCCUAUUCAUUGUAUUCCCGGGUGUUCUGACACCUAAAAAAUAGUUGCAUGUGGGGAACUCGAUUGCAUGAUUUGUGGUAGUGAGAAAUCACAUUCCUGGUUUCUUU
rnacentral:snRNA from 1 species